AUGAAGACCAAGAGCUUUUACUUCUUCUGCUUCAACACACACCAUGAUCUCUACAUCCCUACUGCUGCUGCUGCUGGCAGCCGUGUUCACUGUGUUGAGCUGAUCCAGACCGGAUCCACAGUAUUAACCCCUGGUCAGUCAAUGACUCUGACCUGUAAAGUGUCUGGAUAUUCAUUAACUGAUAGCAGCUACUGUACAAACUGGAUCCUACAAACUGCAGGAAAAACUCUGGAGUGGAUCGGACGUAUAUGUGGUAGCGGUGGCACUGACUACAGUGAGAAACUGAAAAGCAGGUUUCAGAUUUCCAGAGACACGUCCAGCAGCACAGUAACAUUAACAGGGCAGAAGAUGCAGACUGAAGACACAGCUGUGUAUUACUGCGCUCGUCGCUCACAGUGA